UACGUAGGGUGCAAGCGUUGUCCGGAAUUAUUGGGCGUAAAGAGCUCGUAGGCGGUCUGUCGCGUCGGCUGUGAAAACCCGGAGCUCAACUCCGGGCCUGCAGUCGAUACGGGCAGACUGGAGUUCGGCAGGGGAGACUGGAAUUCCUGGUGUAGCGGUGAAAUGCGCAGAUAUCAGGAGGAACACCGGUGGCGAAGGCGCUGACCUGGACGAAGAUUGACGCUGAGGUGCGAAAGCGCGGGGAGCAAACAGG
rnacentral:rRNA from 1 species